GCAAGUCGAACGAACUCUGGUAUUGAUUGGUGCUUGCAUCAUGAUUUACAUUUGAGUGAGUGGCGAACUGGUGAGUAACACGUGGGAAACCUGCCCAGAAGCGGGGGAUAACACCUGGAAACAGAUGCUAAUACCGCAUAACAACUUGGACCGCAUGGUCCGAGUUUGAAAGAUGGCUUCGGCUAUCACUUUUGGAUGGUCCCGCGGCGUAUUAGCUAGAUGGUGGGGUAACGGCUCACCAUGGCAAUGAUACGUAGCCGACCUGAGAGGGUAAUCGGCCACAUUGGGACUGAGACACGGCCCAAACUCCUACGGGAGGCAGCAGUAGGGAAUCUUCCACAAUGGACGAAAGUCUGAUGGAGCAACGCCGCGUGAGUGAAGAAGGGUUUCGGCUCGUAAAACUCUGUUGUUAAAGAAGAACAUAUCUGAGAGUAACUGUUCAGGUAUUGACGGUAUUUAACCAGAAAGCCACGGCUAACUACGUGCCAGCAGCCGCGGUAAUACGUAGGUGGCAAGCGUUGUCCGGAUUUAUUGGGCGUAAAGCGAGCGCAGGCGGUUUUUUAAGUCUGAUGUGAAAGCCUUCGGCUCAACCGAAGAAGUGCAUCGGAAACUGGGAAACUUGAGUGCAGAAGAGGACAGUGGAACUCCAUGUGUAGCGGUGAAAUGCGUAGAUAUAUGGAAGAACACCAGUGGCGAAGGCGGCUGUCUGGUCUGUAACUGACGCUGAGGCUCGAAAGUAUGGGUAGCAAACAGGAUUAGAUACCCUGGUAGUCCAUACCGUAAACGAUGAAUGCUAAGUGUUGGAGGGUUUCCGCCCUUCAGUGCUGCAGCUAACGCAUUAAGCAUUCCGCCUGGGGAGUACGGCCGCAAGGCUGAAACUCAAAGGAAUUGACGGGGGCCCGCACAAGCGGUGGAGCAUGUGGUUUAAUUCGAAGCUACGCGAAGAACCUUACCAGGUCUUGACAUACUAUGCAAAUCUAAGAGAUUAGACGUUCCCUUCGGGGACAUGGAUACAGGUGGUGCAUGGUUGUCGUCAGCUCGUGUCGUGAGAUGUUGGGUUAAGUCCCGCAACGAGCGCAACCCUUAUUAUCAGUUGCCAGCAUUAAGUUGGGCACUCUGGUGAGACUGCCGGUGACAAACCGGAGGAAGGUGGGGAUGACGUCAAAUCAUCAUGCCCCUUAUGACCUGGGCUACACACGUGCUACAAUGGAUGGUACAACGAGUUGCGAACUCGCGAGAGUAAGCUAAUCUCUUAAAGCCAUUCUCAGUUCGGAUUGUAGGCUGCAACUCGCCUACAUGAAGUCGGAAUCGCUAGUAAUCGCGGAUCAGCAUGCCGCGGUGAAUACGUUCCCGGGCCUUGUACACACCGCCCGUCACACCAUGAGAGUUUGUAACACCCAAAGUCGGUGGGGUAACCUUUUAGGAACCAGCCGCCUAAG
rnacentral:rRNA from 2 species